AUUCAUUAAUUGGAAUUGAGAGCUCAGCCGAAGCAGUGAGUGGCACUGAUUUGUUUGGAGCUACUUCCAGAUGAAGUGCAACGUUUCUGCAAACUCACAGGUCGUCUCUCUGCUGUCUGCUGAGCCACUGCUGAUGACCAAGCAGAUGUAGAAGAUUCAGGAACAUCAUCAGCCCACAUUUGAUGCACCUAUUAAGGCACUAUGUCUUCUGUGAAUGGCAGAUCAUCUACUAGGAUGAAAAACUUGACAGGGGUUGUAGAGCCUCCUGAGCAGACCAUGAACCUGGGUACCUCCAGAGCAGACCAUGAGCCUGGG